CGGGACGUGGCGCAGUUUGGUAGCGCACUUGACUGGGGGUCAAGGGGUCGUGGGUUCAAAUCCCGCCGUCCCGACCA
rnacentral:tRNA from 16 species